UAAGACUGGGAUAACUUCGGGAAACCGGAGCUAAUACCGGAUACGUUCUUUUCUCGCAUGAGAGAAGAUGGAAAGACGGUUUACGCUGUCACUUAUAGAUGGGCCCGCGGCGCAUUAGCUAGUUGGUGAGGUAAUGGCUCACCAAGGCGACGAUGCGUAGCCGACCUGAGAGGGUGAUCGGCCACACUGGGACUGAGACACGGCCCAGACUCCUACGGGAGGCAGCAGUAGGGAAUCUUCCGCAAUGGACGAAAGUCUGACGGAGCAACGCCGCGUGAACGAAGAAGGCCUUCGGGUCGUAAAGUUCUGUUGUUAGGGAAGAACAAGUACCAGAGUAACUGCUGGUACCUUGACGGUACCUAACCAGAAAGCCACGGCUAACUACGUGCCAGCAGCCGCGGUAAUACGUAGGUGGCAAGCGUUGUCCGGAAUUAUUGGGCGUAAAGCGCGCGCAGGUGGUUCCUUAAGUCUGAUGUGAAAGCCCACGGCUCAACCGUGGAGGGUCAUUGGAAACUGGGGAACUUGAGUGCAGAAGAGGAAAGUGGAAUUCCAAGUGUAGCGGUGAAAUGCGUAGAGAUUUGGAGGAACACCAGUGGCGAAGGCGACUUUCUGGUCUGUAA
rnacentral:rRNA from 2 species